rnacentral:rRNA from 1 species
AGCCUGCGGGUGCUAUAAUGCAGUCGAACGAACUUCCGUUAAUUGAUUAUGACGUACUUGUACUGAUUGAGAUUUUAACACGAAGUGAGUGGCGAACGGGUGAGUAACACGUGGGUAACCUGCCCAGAAGUAGGGGAUAACACCUGGAAACAGAUGCUAAUACCGUAUAACAGAGAAAACCGCAUGGUUUUCUUUUAAAAGAUGGCUCUGCUAUCACUUCUGGAUGGACCCGCGGCGUAUUAGCUAGUUGGUGAGGUAAAGGCUCACCAAGGCAGUGAUACGUAGCCGACCUGAGAGGGUAAUCGGCCACAUUGGGACUGAGACACGGCCCAGACUCCUACGGGAGGCAGCAGUAGGGAAUCUUCCACAAUGGACGCAAGUCUGAUGGAGCAACGCCGCGUGAGUGAAGAAGGGUUUCGGCUCGUAAAGCUCUGUUGUUAAAGAAGAACGUGGGUAAGAGUAACUGUUUACCCAGUGACGGUAUUUAACCAGAAAGCCACGGCUAACUACGUGCCAGCAGCCGCGGUAAUACGUAGGUGGCAAGCGUUAUCCGGAUUUAUUGGGCGUAAAGCGAGCGCAGGCGGUCUUUUAAGUCUAAUGUGAAAGCCUUCGGCUCAACCGAAGAAGUGCAUUGGAAACUGGGAGACUUGAGUGCAGAAGAGGACAGUGGAACUCCAUGUGUAGCGGUGAAAUGCGUAGAUAUAUGGAAGAACACCAGUGGCGAAGGCGGCUGUCUGGUCUGCAACUGACGCUGAGGCUCGAAAGCAUGGGUAGCGAACAGGAUUAGAUACCCUGGUAGUCCAUGCCGUAAACGAUGAUUACUAAGUGUUGGAGGGUUUCCGCCCUUCAGUGCUGCAGCUAACGCAUUAAGUAAUCCGCCUGGGGAGUACGACCGCAAGGUUGAAACUCAAAAGAAUUGACGGGGCCCGCACAAGCGGUGGAGCAUGUGUUUAAUUCGAAGCUACGCGAAGAACCUUACCAGGUCUUGACAUCUUCUGACAGUCUAAGAGAUUAGAGG